AAUUUUGGACAAUGGGGGCAACCCUGAUCCAGCCAUCCCGCGUGUGCGAUGAAGGCCUUCGGGUUGUAAAGCACUAUUGGCAGGGAAGAAAAGGCUCUGGUUACUACCUGGAGCUGCUGACGGUACCUGCAGACUAAGCACCGGCUAACUACGUGCCAGCCGCCGCGGUAAUACGUAGGGUGCAAGCGUUAAUCGGAAUUACUGGGCGUAAAGGGUGCGCAGGCGGUUUGGCAAGAAGGAUGUGAAAUCCCGGGGCUUAACCUCGGAACUGCAUUCUUAACUGCCAGGCUAGAGUAUGUCAGAGGGGGGUAGAAUUCCGCGUGUAGCAGUGAAAUGCGUAGAGAUGCGGAGGAAUACCGAUGGCGAAGGCAGCCCCCUGGGAUAAUACUGACGCUCAGGCACGAAAGCGUGGGGAGCAAACAG
rnacentral:rRNA from 1 species